GAGCGCUGGGGCUAGGGCUAGGUCUAGUGCUAGGUUUGGGUCGGCGGCCGCUAGAGGAGGAGGGGGGGUCACUGCGGCGGGGGUGGAAGUUAACGAGAGGGUUCCCUUCCCUUCCUUUCCGGCUGGUCCCUCUAGCAAGCGCGCGGGUAUAGGUGCGGCGGCAGCAACUGGACUAGGCACAGGCAGGAGCUCCCUCCAGCCGGUACCACCAGGCACGAGCAGGGCGGAAGGUGGGACAAGGAGGGUAAUCGCCAGGUGUGGUGGCGCCCUCAGUCCCUCGUAGUACGGGAUGGGCGGCACGUGCUGACUGGCAGCGGCGGCUUCUGAGAGGUUGGAUUC
rnacentral:rRNA from 1 species